UAAGAUGGCUGAGUGUUAAGCGGAGGAUUGUAGACCCAUGAACGGAGGUUUAAGGCCUUCUCUUGC
rnacentral:tRNA from 1 species